rnacentral:misc_RNA from 1 species
UCACCCCUCAAGCCCCCGGCUUGGUGUUGGACGGUCUGGUUUCGGUCCCCGAAACCCCUCCUAAAGUUAAUGACGGCGGUGUGUGAGCCCCCGGUACACUGAGCUUCUUUACUGAGCACGUAUCGGUUCUAGGGCCGCAGACCCCCGGUCUUCUUCCCUCACGGGAAAUUUUUUUCA